UUUCCGGUUGAUCCUGCCGGAGGCUACCGCUAUUGGAGUUCGAUUAAGCCAUGCGAGUCGCGAGAAAUUAGAUUCUCGGCGUACCGCUCAGUAACACGUGGGUAACCUGCCCUAUGCUGGAUAAUAACCUCGGGAAACUGAGUAUAAUGAUCCAUAGUUCACUACGCCUGGAACGGUGAGUGGAUGAAAGCUCCGGCGGCAUAGGAUGGGCCUGCGGCGUAUCAGGUAGUAGGGGGUGUAACGUACCCUCUAGCCCUCUACGCGUACGGGUGUUGGGAGACAUAGCCCGGAGAUGGAUUCUGAGACACGAAUCCAGACCCUACGGGGUGCAGCAGGCGCGAAAACUUGGCAAUGCGAGAAAUCGUGACCAGGGAACUCCAAGUGCAUCGGGUAAGACCGGUGCUUUUCUUGACUCUAAAUAGGUCUUGGAAUAAGGGGUGGGUAAGGACGGUGCCAGCCGCCGCGGUAAUACCGGCGCCUCAAGUGGUAGUCGCUUUUAUUGGGCCUAAAACGUCCGUAGCCGGUCUGAUACAUUCGUGGGUAAAUCAACCAGCUCAACUGGUUGAAUUCUGCGAGGACGGUCAGACUUGGGACCGGGAGAGGUGUGGGGUACGCUCAGGGUAGGGGUAAAAUCCUGUCAUCCUGAGCGGACCACCUGUUGCGAAGGCGCCACACUAGAACGGAUCCGACGGUCAGGGACGAAGCCUAGGGGCACGAACCGGAUUAGAUACCCGGGUAGUCCUAGGUGUAAACGCUGUGGACUUGAUGUUGGGGGUGCUCCGAGCACUCUCAGUGUCGAAGCGAA
rnacentral:rRNA from 1 species